rnacentral:tmRNA from 1 species
GGGGCUGAUUCUGGAUUCGACGGGAUUUGCGAAAUCCAAGGUGCAUGCCGAGGGGCGGUUGGCCUCGUAAAAAGCCGCAAAAAAUAGUCGCAAACGACGAAAACUACGCUUUAGCAGCUUAAUAACCUGCUUAGAGCCCUCUCUCCCUAGCCUCCGCUCUUAGGACGGGGAUCAAGAGAGGUCAAACACAAAAGAGAUCGCGUGGAAGCCCUGCCUGGGGUUGAAGCGUUAAAACUUAAUCAGGCUAGUUUGUUAGUGGCGUGUCCGUCCGCAGCUGGCAAGCGAAUGUAAAGACUGACUAAGCAUGUAGUACCGAGGAUGUAGGAAUUUCGGACGCGGGUUCAACUCCCGCCAGCUCCACCA